rnacentral:rRNA from 1 species
AUGAACGCUAGCGGCAGGCUUAAUACAUGCAAGUUGUACGGGAUUUCGGGUAGCAAUACCUGGAUGAGAGUGGCGCACGGGUGCGUAACGCGUAUGCAACCUACCUUUAACCGGGACACAACCAUGAGAAAUUGUGGCUAAUAUCCCAUAACACUGCGAUGUGGCAUCACAAUGCAGUUAAAGCUCCGGCGGUUAUAGAUGGGCAUGCGUGACAUUAGCUAGUUGGUGAGGUAACGGCUCACCAAGGCUACGAUGUCUAGGGGUUCCGAGAGGAUUAUCCCCCACACUGGUACUGAGACACGGACCAGACUCCUACGGGAGGCAGCAGUAAGGAAUAUUGGGCAAUGGACGCAAGUCUGACCCAGCCAUGCCGCGUGAAGGAUGAAGGCCCUAUGGGUUGUAAACUUCUUUUAUACGGGAAAAAACCACCGGUCGUGUAUCGGUGCUGAUGGUACCGUAAGAAUAAGCAUCGGCUAACUCCGUGCCAGCAGCCGCGGUAAUACGGAGGAUGCAAGCGUUAUCCGGAUUCAUUGGGUUUAAAGGGUGCGCAGGCGGAUUAAUAAGUCAGUGGUGAAAUCCUACGGCUCAACUGUAGAACUGCCACUGAUACUGUUAGUCUUGAGUAUUGUUAAGGUAGGCGGAAUGUGUCAUGUAGCGGUGAAAUGCUUAGAUAUGACACAGAACACCAAUCGCGAAGGCAGCUUACCAAGCAAUAACUGACGCUCAUGCACGAAAGCGUGGGGAUCAAACAGGAUUAGAUACCCUGGUAGUCCACGCUGUAAACGAUGAACACUCGAUGUUGGCGAUACACAGUCAGCGUCUGAGCGAAAGUAUUAAGUGUUCCACCUGGGGAGUACGGUCGCAAGAUUG